rnacentral:lncRNA from 1 species
AGGACAUGGCAGAAGACUUCUGUUAUCAUGUAUAAGGAUCAAACAGACUUACUUCCCUUAAUCCUCCAGGCAUUUGGUAGCCACACCUGUUAUCCAACUUGCAGAGUCAAGGGUAAACACACCUGAGCCCAAGUCUGUUGUUAUUUAGAUAAGACAUCGACUACCAAGGCCUAAACAUCCUGCAGUAGCCAAACAUUAGACCUUUAGGUCUUUUGACUUACAAAGGACAGUUUUGAACUCUUUGACAUUGAGGUGAGAAGAAGUGGACCCAUCUUUAUGGGCCCUAACAGCCCAUAAAGUGAAAAACAAGAGCAUUUAUGCUAAUUGACUGGUAAACACUGCGUGUCUACUGAAUGCAAAAUACUAAUGGUGGGGACCGUGAGUUGAUGGGGCAUGAAAAUAAAUGAUGGAAAUACUUUUCUUUCAAGGAAUUAUAUUCAGACAAUGAGAGAAUGACUUAUGUAACUACUAGAAGAGAAUUCAUAAGAAAAAAUUAGGAAAAUGUCCAUGAAUAGCCUCAGUAUAGACCAAAGAUAUUUUGGUAUAGAUCCAUUUAAAACCAGGCACCAUGGAGAAUGCCCAUAAUCCCAGCACUCAGAUGGGUUGAAGAAGAAUAAUUGACAGUUUGAAGUCAGCCUGGACUACAUUGUGCGUCCCUGUCUCACAAGCACAAUAGUAAAUAAAUAAUGUAUGGGUAGUGAAGGGACCAGCUGCCCCUUUCGGCAGCCAUGACAGUAACACGUGCUCGCCAUGACCUUGCCUUGGUCACUAAGAGGUCAGAUGCCUGCCUUGUGGCAAGGAACCAAUCAGAAGUUAGCUGGUGGUGCUAUGCUUUACGGCUCUGGGUGUACUUUACAGACAAGUGCACAGCAAUGAUGCGCAUAGCAUAGCAACCACCUUGGGAGGGCCUAUGGGCCAUAACAACCAAUUGGCCAAUCAACACAGGGCAAGCCCUCCAAGCCUGGAGGCACACCAAUCCUGAGCCUGUGCGUACCCCUAGACACUCCCCUUAUGCUGCCCUACAAGAUCUCUAUGCAUCCAGUUCGAGCUGUCUUUGCUAGCCAUCCGCCAUGGAAUUAGCUCGUUAAACAACAAUGAAGUCUCAUGCAGUUUGCAACAAGUUUUCAAAUCCGCCUGGUGAUUGGGGUGACCUGGGUCCUGGGCUGGGACCCCGGAGGCCUGAGUUUUCCGGGGGUCUAACAGUAGUAUAGGAGAAAAUAGUCACUUUGGUAAAAUAUAGGCUAGUUAAAAAAUGAACAGAACUAAUUUUAAAGGGUGAUUGAAGUAGGGUUUUGUUCUUGGUUUGGUUUGGUUUGGUUUUUUGUGUGUGUUCGUGUCUUUCGUUUUAUUUUGAUUUCGUUUAGUUUCCGAGACAGGGUUUCUCUGUGAAACAGCCCUAGCUGUCCUAGAGCUCACUUUGUAGACCAGGCUGGCAUCCAGACUCACAGAACUCUGCCCGUGUCUUCCUCUCAAGUGUUGGGAUUUAAGGCGUGUGGCACCACACCCUGCAAAAAAGUGAUUGUUAAAGGAACUGGGAAAGAAGUAAAUUUAGUAAAUUGUAUGUGUGCAUAUGUUCAUCUAUACUUUUAUUUUUUCUUUAUGAGUCACGGUUUCUCUGUGUAUCCAUGGCUGUGCUGGAACUCUCUCUCUACACCAGGCUGACCUCGAACUCACAGAUCUGCCCAAGUGUUGGGGUUAAAGGCCUGCACUACUACUGCCCAGAUCAUCUAUGCUUUAAAGAAAUUUGCUGUUAAAGUCCUAAAGACCUCGUGUCACUGGGAUCCUAGAAGAGCUGAUUGAUUCAAGUUUAUAUCCACAGAUCCAUGCUGCUCUCAGCCUUGGUCAAAGAAGCUUCUUACUGCAGUUGGCAGCAGUCAAUGCAGAGACUCAUCACUGGAAAAAAAAAAAAGUAAUGAGAAUAAAUUCUUGUUGAGUGCUCAGCCCUAAAUGGGACAUCUAUAUUAAGCCCCCACCUAGCUAAGACUCAGGACAUGUCACAGGAAAAGGGAAAGAAUGUAAUAGCCAGAGGUUCGGAAGGGAUGCUAUAAAAGGAAACCUUCUGAACAUGACAUGACCAUUAUACUCAUCUCUCAGGAGCUGUGUGUGGUUACCUGCACAAAGUCAAGCCAAUCAAGAUUCCAGCAUGGAUAAGAGAGACUCAGGAGGUUACACUCCAGCUGAGUAGUUGUUGGCAGGUGAUGGCUAGGGAGGAGGGAGUCCUUCACCUUUUUGGGUACCACCACUGAUAAAUUACCCAUGCUCCAGUAAGUGGACCACACUCAUAUUCGUAUAAGCCCAACUAAUUGGACUCAGUGAGUUAUUUUAUUUAAGGAAGGAAGGAAGGAAG